CUCAUUACAACAGAUAUAAUUUACUUGAUCUCAUCCCGCCCAACGGAUAACUGCGGUAAUUCUGGAGCCAAUACGUGCACMAAAGCCGAGYUCAGCAAUGAGCGCGGKGSACUUAUCGGAGCAAAAUCAAUCUUGAUUUUUGUUAACUCUAKAUAAUCCUAGCUUAUCGCAUGSCCUCSCGGSGGSGAAGUUACAUUCAAGUAUCUGCCUUAUCAACUAUCGUUGGUAGUGUAUUGGACUACCGAGGUGUUGACGGGUAACGGAGAAUCAGGGUUCGACUCCGGAGAGGGAGCCUUAGAAACGGCUACCAUGUCUAAGGACAGCAGCAGGCGCGCAACUUAUCCACUGUUCAUCGAACGAGAUAGUGACGAGAAAUAACAAGUUCGGUCUCUUUGAGGUCGAACAUUGGAAUGGACGGAAUUUAAAGGAUUCCGUGAGUAUCAAUGAGAGGGCAAGUCUGGUGCCAGCAGCCGCGGUAAUUCCAGCUCUCAUAAUAUAUAGAAUUAUUGUUGCGGUUAAAAAGUUCGUAGUUGGAUUUUCGACUGCUCGCGGGUGGUGGUUAACGCCGCCUACUCGCGACAGUGUUUGAUUUGCGAUSRGUUUGCUGGUCUCAAGUCGGGUUACUUUGAACGGCUCAAGUGCUCAAGGCAGGUCUUCGGACCGAAUACCGGUGCAUGGAAUAAUGGAACAAGGUUUGGGCCGAGUUUUAUUGGUUUUGUCGGCCUCGACAAUGGUUAACAGGAACAGCUGGGGGCACUCGUAUCGCUGCGCGAGAGGUGAAAUUCGUGGACCGCAGCGAGACGCCCGAAAGCGAAGGCAUUUGCCAAGAGUGCUUUCAUUAAUCAAGAACGAAAG
rnacentral:rRNA from 1 species